AAUUCGCACAGCCGUCUGUCCGUCACUGCGCCCCGCCCCCGGGGCAUGCUGGGGCUUGUAGUCACAUGGACCCGAGCGCCCGUAGCUCAGGGGCGGAGUAGAAGCUAGCUCCCAGCUGGGAACGUGGGGACCUAGGAACGCGCGCGUCCGCUUUGUGUCCCCCCCCCCCCUUGUGCGGACAGGGAAACUGAGAUGAAAGCGGCCCGCCCAGGUUCCCUCAGCGAGUCCGGAGCUAAGUCAGAACUCGUGUCUGAUUCCAAUAUGUGCGUUACCCGCUUCGCUGACCCGUGACGUCCUGGAACGGGCCUCAGCAGAGCCUGGGCUCCUGGCAGAAGGGCGUCUCGGAAGUGCGGCCAGCGCAUGUGAGGGAGUGACCAGGGGAAGAGUACAGCUUUCCCCGGGGGCGGGCGCGGAGGCUGGACUUGCUUACAGAGCAAGUUUCUGGGGCUCCAUGUUUCUCCCUGGGACACGCGGCUGCCUAGACUCGAGUUCAUGCGAUGGACCUAGUGCUCAAGGGAGAGGAGUCUUUUCCUUGCUCUGUGGGGAGGCCGCAAGAGAGAGCAUGAUCCUGUCAAGACGAAGACACUCCGAUGAGCUCUUCUGGGCAGCAAUGCCAGGGAACAGCAGGAAUUGCCCUCUGUCCUGAGUUUCUGCCAUGUUGGAGAGUCGGAGUGGCCUGUUUCACCAGAAUGGCAAGAAACCUUUCUGGAUAAGGAACUGGGGAGUACUUCUAUCAGCCCCCCAUGUUAGAGGCUGGGGAGAUGGGAGGGCUGCCGUCAAAUAGUUUGUUCCCAACCUUAAGACCUCACCUACACCCUCUUCUCAGACCAAAUGGGAGUUAUCACUCUGUUUGCUGAAAACCACAGUUCCCAGCCCAAAGUCUCCAUUCAGGACUCAUCAUGUUUUUAUUCUGAUAUUUCCCCAGUGAGAGGAGCUGAUUGCACUCCUCUGACAGUCUGGAGAUAUCAUCCAAGCAUGCCUUUAAAGAACAACAACAACAACAAUGAAAAAUCCUUUCUCUCCUCAUUAAAAAAAAAAAAAAAAAAAAAUGUUUGGCUGUGCUUUUUUUUUUUUAUGUUUAAA